rnacentral:rRNA from 1 species
UACGUAGGGGGCAAGCGUUGUCCGGAUUUAUUGGGCGUAAAGAGCGUGUAGGCGGUUAGGUAGGUCCGUUGUGAAAAACUCGAGGCUCAACCUCGAGACGCCGAUGGAAACCAUCUAACUAGAGUCCGGAAGAGGAGAAUGGAAUUCCCGGUGUAGCGGUGAAAUGCGCAGAUAUCGGGAGAACACCCGUGGCGAAGGCGGUUCUGCUGGGACGGUACUGACGCUGAGACGCGAAAGCGUGGGGAGCGAACAGG